rnacentral:tRNA from 1 species
UUGCAUUAGAAUUAGAAUCUAACUACACUAAAAUCACUCCCCCUAAUAUACUUUUAACAAUC